GAUGUUGAACAGAAAGUGUACGAGGGCAAUCUGGAGAAACCAUAAAUUCACUUCAUUAGCAUGGAGUGUCUCCUGGACUGGCCAUGGCUGCCAAGAUGGCCGUGGUGGUGGUGCCGAUGUUGGAACCGAGAGACAACGGAUAGGCUCUCUGUAUGCUGAUGACGCCAAUACCUACAGGUAUGUGCGUAAAGAAGGCCCAUGAGAUAUUUCUCUAGUCUAAUCAAUCACUUCAGAUGAAUGUGCUCCAACUGUAUUUUCGUCUUGAUUGUUGGGGGUUUGUUUCAAAUUGAUAAGACCAAUAUAUUAAUACAGAGAAUAUGUUUUUCAGUGCAAAAGUUAGUCUGCAUGGAUCAGCAAUAUACUGUAUGCAUGGUGGGUAGAUGGACGAUUAGGCAGUUAGUUGGAUCGGUGAAGGGUGAGAUGACCAGGUGAUUGAUGUAUGGAUGGUAUGAUUAUAUUUUGAUCAUGAGGAUGGAUGGCUAAGUGGUACGACAACAUCAACUGUGCGAAGGUUGAACGGAUGCAUGGAAGGAUGAACCAGUGGACGGAAAGAAGGAUAGCGGCUUGUACCGUAUUGGCCCG